rnacentral:rRNA from 1 species
ACCGGCGGACGGGUGAGUAACACGUGGGUAACCUGCCUGUAGGACUGGGAUAACUCCGGGGAACCGGGGCUAAUACCGGAUGGUUGUUUGAACCGCAUGGUUCAAACAUAAGAGGUGGCUUCGGCUACCACUUACAGAUGGACCCGCGGCGCAGUAGCUAGUUGGUGAGGUAACGGCUCACCAAGGCAACGAUGCGUAGCCGACCUGAGAGGGUGAUCGGCCCCACUGGGACUGACACACGGCCCAGACUCCUACGGGAGGCAUUGUAGGGAAUCUUCCGCAAUGGACGAAAGUCUGACGGAGCAACACCACGGGAGUGAUGAAUGUUUUCGGAUCUUAAAGCUCUGUUGUUAGGGAAGAACAAGUACCGUUCGAAUAGGGCGGUACCUUGACGGUACCUAACCAGAAGGCCACGGCUAACUACGUGCCAA